rnacentral:lncRNA from 1 species
UCCUAGCUUCUCUUUUGGCUAUCUGAUACAGUCACCUGCUUCCUUGCUUUUUUUAUAAUCCCAAGGUUGGGCAGUCACAAUACAUAUACAGAAAAUUACAUUGGAUUAAAUAAAUUAAAUUAAAUUAAAUUCACAAGAAAGUGAGAUGUUUAAAAGAUUUAUAAUAGUCCUCGUAUGAAGUAAAAUUAGAUAGAGUAAGGUGAUUUAAAAUAAUUUUUUCUCUGAUGAAAGAAAAGUGGCCACCAAAGUCAAAGGAAUAAGUUUCUGCUUUGCAUAUUUUCUUGAAAUGAUUGUAAGCUAUCUCACUUAUAUUUUUAUUUAUUUCAUUUGUGAAUUGCUUUAUUUUAAUUCAUUCAAGGACAAUUUUAAAUUGCCUUACCCUAUUUAAUUUUACUUCAGAUAAGACUGGAGCCUGGUGCAGCCUUCUGGCUUCCCAGAUCCCCGGUCGAACCGUCCAACCCAUGCUAGCAUGGAGAACGGACGUUAAACGAUGAUGAUGAUGAUGAUACAAGGACUAUUAUAAAUCUUUUAAACAUCGCACCUGCAUGUGAUUUUAAUUUAAUUUAUUUUAUCUGAUGUAAUGUACUGUGAUUGCCCAACCUUGGAAUUAUAAUAAAAGAAAUAUAUAUGUAUUGUAUUCCCAAUUUGAAUAUGUUUGGCUGGACUAUGAGGGUAAUAAACUAAUCUGUCUUCUCUCCCUCCUUUUGAGACCUUCCAUGUUAUUUCGUGGAAAGAGUUACAUUCUUUUAUUAUUUAAUAUAUAUAUAUAUAUAUAUAUAUGCUCCACUGGAUGUGUAAUGUCAGUGUGCAUACACGACAGACUGUAAGCGCCCUGAGAGAGAAGUUGGACAUAAGAAGCAUCAGAUGUAGUGUGCAAGAGAGACUAUGGUCAUGUGUUGCGUAUGGAUAAGGACAGCUGUGUGAAAAAGUGUUACACCCUAGCAGUAGAGAGAACCUGUGGAAGAGUUAGACCCGGGAAAACCUGAGAUGAGGCAAUGACAAGUGACCAAGACCUUUGGAGAUAUGCUGUGCUUGAGAAGACCCGGCAAGCUAAGUUUUCCCAACGAAGCAAGGCCUUGUUGUGUGUGUGUGUAAGAAAAAACCCCACCUAAAACAUCUUUUGUGUUCAUAUUAAUCUAUCAAAUGUAAUGUUUAUUUGAUGUUUUGAAUAUUCAGGUUCAAGAGGGGUGUCUGCUAUAUUUGCUUGUAACUUUGUAAAUUUUUUACAUACAGAUUUGAAAUUUUGUCAGUGGGUGCUUUAUAUACCAUUGGUUUAUUGUUAUGUAAUUUUAGCUGAUCUUGCUGAGUAAAUUUGACUUUUAUGGGCAGGUAAAUUUAAUAAACAGGUGUAAAAGCAGCAACAUUAUGGAAAAGCACUAAAAUUGAAAUUCUUUUAAUCCCUAGGUCAGUCGUGACAGCAGAUGUCCCAGCCAUAUCUAUAUCAUUUUCUUUUUCCUUUUUUCCUGUAGACAUAGGCACAGGUGUGGCUGUCUAGUAAGGAGCUUGCUUCCCAACCAUAUGGUUCUGGGUUCAGUCACACUGUGUGGUCCCUUAGGAGACUGUCUUCUACUAUAACUUUGGACUGACCAAAAACUUGUGAGUGGAUCUGGUAGAUGGAAACUGAAAGAAGCCUGUUGUAUAUAUAUGUAUGUGUCUGUGUUUGUCCCACACACACACUUGGCAACCAGUGCUGGUGUGUUUACAUCCCCACAACUUAGCAGUUCGGCAAAAGAAAUUGAAAGAAUAAGUACUAGACUUAAGGAAGAAGUCUUGAGGUCGAUUUGUUUCACAAAAAAGACCCCCUUCAAGGCGGUUCUCCAACAUGGUCGCAGUCUAAUGACUGAAACAAUUAAAAUAGUUUAUACAGGACCAUUAUUUACCAGUGUUUUGUUUCUCUUUACAGUAGCAUGUAAUUCAAGGGAUUUAGCUGCUGUUUCUUACAGUUCAAAUUGCUCACUUGUCUCUCAUCUAAGGGUCAUGUAAAAAUAAACCCCAGUGGUAGGGUCCUAUAGGAAAAUAGGAGCAAGAGAUAUAUCAUACCUGGGUCUGGGUAUUUCCUGGUAUUUCCGAAGAACAUUUUUGUAUAUGUAGAACAUAGAGGUAGGCUCCCGUCGCCAAAAAAUUACAAAAAUAUAUGCACCCCACACCUUAGUUUACUCACUCAAAAAUUCCUUUCAAAUACCCUGCCAAUCCGAUGAUUAUUGAUUGGGGUCGAUUAUGUCUAGAAAAAAAAAUGCUGUUAUUUGUCAUGAAUAUGUGUGUGUGAGGUUUUGUGAAUUUCUUCUCUUGUAUGGUCUGCUACUGAAUAAUUCACAAGUUAUGGAAGAGAGAGAGAGAGAGAAUUCCCCUUCGUCGGGUUUGUUUCUGGCUCUCUUCUUUAUGUGGUGUCCUCCUCAGCAAGCAGCUAGAAUCACCCAACCUAGUUUAUUUACAGUUGUAUAACCGGACUCUGUUAUAAAGCAGCAUCAGGCAGCCAGGCAGAGCAGCAGGCCUCACAGGGCAAUCAAUCAGACAGACAGGUGGUUACCCGAGAUUGUGUGGCAUUAAAAUAGCUAAUCUUAAUUCGUGUUUUCCGUUUUUGUUAUUGUUUCUGAUUUUGUCCUCCUCCUCCUCCGACUGGAAAUCAAUCCAUAGAGAGGAGGACAUAAUUUUGACAGGUGUUGGUUGCAGUGGUGGUGGUGGUGGUAGUAGUAGUAGUAGUAAUAGUCUCUGCUCGAUAAUUGUACAAAAACUUAUCGUCUUUAAUAUGAGAUUUUUUGCAAUGCUAAUUACACACACACGUGCGCGCACGUAUAUAUAUGGUUACUGGAAACAUGCAGAUUGAGUAUGUGAAUAUUGAGAUCAGUGUGUUUAUAAAUUUAAUAAUGAGAAUAAUGUCUAUAUUAGCCACAAGGGCACAAAACAGGGCAAUCAAUCCAAAGGAAAAGAUCCUAAAACUGAAACAAGAAACUGUGGAAGUUUUACACUAAAUAAAAAGGGUGAUAAGUAACAAUAAUGAUAUAUAACAGUACCAAUAUGAUGAAGGGGCCCUUUCUUAUGCAGUCUGCAAAGUCAAAUUAAGCAUUUUAAUGCAUCCUGUGUGUGGAUAUAUGUAUUUAUGUAUAUUUUUAUAUAUAUAUAUAUAUAUAUAUAUAUAUAUAUAUAUAUGUGUGUGUGUGUGUGUGUGUGUGUAUGUGGUCUGGUCAAUAAGUAUCCAUGCUGUUGCCAUAGUAACAAAGCUAAAGCAUGCAAAGUGAAACCACUUGGCACAGAUUGACCUUGACCUCUGUUAUGCAUUAAAUUUUAAUGUUCUGGCUCACUUCUGCUGUUUCAGCAGUGCUUCGAAGUAACAUGUGUAACAUGCAAUCGUCACAUUGACCAUGACAGAGGAAGUUGUCAUGGCGAUACCUGCUCAGAGGCCUAUGCAAAGUUGCAGAAAGUGUGUGUGGAGAGGAGUGUAUUAGACGCACACAGGUGUACAAGUGGUUCAGAUGUUUCCAAGAUGGCCAAAAAACAAAUGUCAAUAUUGAUGAAUGUUCUGGGAGACCCACAACCAGCAGAACUGCGAAAAACAUUGCAGAUAUGCGUGCAGCUGUGAAGGGAAAUCAUUGAAUCACCAUCCAUGAGUUAUCAGAGGAUGCACAGAUUAGUUACAGUUGAGUUCAGUCCAUUAUCACUGAAGAUUUGGCUAUGAGACAUGUGUCUGCCAAGUUUGUGCCAAAACUGCUUUCAGCUGACCAGAAAGACACUCAGGUUUCAGUUACAAAAAUCAUCUUGAUUGUGUCAAGAACAUUGAAAACUUUUUGUAAACCUUGCGUAGGCUACUGAGCAGAUAUCGCCAAGCUUUUGGCAAAAUUUGAUGUACAUUCUCUGCUCAACUUUCUCUGUCACGGUCAAUGCAAUGAACUCAUUACUUCCAAGCACUGCUACAAACAGUGGAAGUGAGCUAGAAUGUUAAAACUUAUUGCAUAUGAACAGCAGAGUUCAAGGUCAAUCUGUGCCAAGCGGCUUCACUGUGCAUGCUUUAGCUUCCUUACUAUGGCAACAAUCUGGAUACUUAUUGAUCUGACUAUAUGUUUAUAUAUAUAUAUGUAUGUGUGUGUCUGUGUAUAUGUUUAUGUUUGUGUAUAUGUUUAUGUAAUAUGUAUGUGUAUGUAUAUAUAUAUGUGUGUGUGUGUAUAUGUUUAUGUAAUAUGUAUGUGUAUAUAUAUAUAUAUAUAUAUAUAGUUAAUCCAAACAAGAAAACACAGAAAAAAACACAGAAAAAACACAGCAACGCGAGGACGUGGAACAAUUAAAGUAUUAUUUGACGCUCAGGAAAGAAGGGAAGGAGGGUUUAACGUUUCGAGCGGAGCUCUUCAUCGGAAACAAGGAGAAGGAAAGAUCCCGAGAAGGGAAGACAGAGGAAAAAAAUAUUUUUGCUGGUGGUGCUCAAGAGAUCACAUAUAUAUAUAUAACAAAACUCGACUAAAUCUAAAAGCUCAACAUAAAAUAUUCUCACUAGCUUCUUCACAAAUCUACUGGAAUGGCUCUCUUCCUUCUCUCAUCAGUUAAAGAGAGGAAAUCAUAGAAAUUAGUCAUUACUCAUUUUGCCCUAAUUUGGUCAUCAUUUUUUGAAAAUUGAAAAUUAUCAAACCAGAUGUUAGCAUGGGAAAAAACUGACUUGGAAUCCAACAAAGGAAAGAAUACAGUUAAACACCAAAAGUUAUCUCGAUAUUUUUAGUCGUAACCUCAAUUACGAUUCGGUCAAAAGAGAAGAAAAAUUUCUUGUUAAAAAAAAGUACCCAUCAUCUGACUUGUUUCAAACUCUCUCAGCUUCAACAACAACAACGACAACAACUGUGCUGACCAAUUUUUAUUCCUGAAGAUGAUGCAACAGCACAAAAUGGUGGUGCAAUGUUUGCAAUGUGAUGGUUUCAAACAGGUAGGGAGAAAAUAAUGAGAAAUCAGAAAUUGCUCCUUUUGCUCCAGUUACCAAUUUCCCCCCACCCCCACCUUUGAUAAACAACCAUCACAAAAUG